rnacentral:rRNA from 1 species
GUGUCAGCAGCCGCGGUAAUACGGAGGGGGCUAGCGUUAUUCGGAAUUACUGGGCGUAAAGCGCACGUAGGCGGAGCGGAAAGUCAGAGGUGAAAUCCCAGGGCUCAACCUUGGAACUGCCUUUGAAACUCCCGCUCUUGAGGUCGAGAGAGGUAAGUGGAAUUCCGAGUGUAGAGGUGAAAUUCGUAGAUAUUCGGAGGAACACCAGUGGCGAAGGCGGCUUACUGGCUCGAUACUGACGCUGAGGUGCGAAAGCGUGGGGAGCAAACAGGAUUAGAAACCCUUGUAGUCC